rnacentral:rRNA from 1 species
AACGAACGCUGGCGGCAUGCCUAACACAUGCAAGUCGAACGAGACCUUCGGGUCUAGUGGCGCACGGGUGCGUAACGCGUGGGAACCUGCCCUUAGGUUCGGAAUAACUCCCCUAAAGGGGUGCUAAUACCGGAUAAUGUCUUCGGACCAAAGAUUUAUCGCCUUUGGAUGGGCCCGCGUUGGAUUAGCUAGUUGGUAGGGUAAAAGCCUACCAAGGCGACGAUCCAUAGCUGGUCUGAGAGGAUGAUCAGCCACACUGGGACUGAGACACGGCCAGACUCCUACGGGAGGCAGCAGUGGGGAAUAUUGGACAAUGGGCGAAAGCCUGAUCCAGCAAUGCCGCGUGAGUGAUGAAGGCCUUAGGGUUGUAAAGCUCUUUUACCCGGGAUGAUAAUGACAGUACCGGGAGAAUAAGCUCCGGCUAACUCCGUG